UUUAACUUUUGUCGUAAUGAUUGAAAAUAUUUUAGUUUUAAAUAUCUAAACGUUUUUUCAGAGUAAUUAAAUCUAUUGAUAAUUCCUGUAGGUUUUUGCUUUGGGGGUAUCUUAUAUACUAGCACAAACAAAAAAUUGUUUGCCUUCUAUUAAUUUUAAAAUUUACUUUUUACAUUUAAAUGCAUAAUAGUCUAAAUUUAUCCUUCAGAUUUCUUUGUCUCAAACAUCAUGUGCUAAAUUUCUUUAAUUCCUCCUUGAGUUGCUAUCACUUAUGCUAAUUAUUCACAAACACAUAAUUUGGCAACAUUCAGGCAUGAUUAAUUGAUGCAAGUUAAUACACAGCAGAGUAAUACACUGAAUGACAGUCACCCUUCCUCAAUCCACACCAAAGCACAUUCCUCAGAGUACAGAAAAAUUUAGCUCAUAAGGUAUGAAGCAUGAGCUCUUAUGUCAUUUGCAGUGGAAAUACUAGAUUACUUUUAGUGAAGUGUAUUGCAAUUAUAUUGUGCUGUACAGAGUUCGUUGACCUCCCCGCCUUCUGGGGACACUGGGAUCUGUGGCCUAUGUGAAAGAAUGUGCUUGGGCUCGGAGCUGGGGAUGGCUACUCUCGCCUUGACCCCAAGGCACAAGUUAAUAAGAGUAUAUCGUGUGUCAUGUUCCUUGUCUGGCCUGGCCACCCCAACAGGCACCUGACCAGGCUGUAGAAAGAUCCCAUACGUGGAAACAAGAAGAAAUAACUCAAAGUAUCCAAAUGUCUGAAACCUUGAGUCAGAACCCAGAUAACAUUAGCAUAAAGGGGAGUCACAAGUAUAGAACAAAUGGGAGUCUCACUGAGGAAAGGACACUUUGCCUCAGACCCGGACAAUCGGCACUCCCACCAGCUGUACAAACUAUUGAGACUUCCCCGGCUGAUUGUGGUGUGGAUGUUAACCCACGCAUGACCUAUGGUACCAUCAAGGAGAGUGCAAUAGCCCGGAGGGGGCAGCGUUUCCACAGUUUCCUUUGCCACAGUCAUAGCUUGGAGCAACAGAAUAGACCUGAAGGGACUUCAUGGACUAAAACUUUAGCUGUCUCCAGAUAAACCUGUGCAGAUCGAUUAUCUGAGGACUGAUUGUGAUUGAUAUUUUCACAGUCUAGGCACAGUGGGAAGUUCCGAGUUAAAAUUAAUUUUGUUUGUUUAUUUAUUUAUUGGUGGCUUUUCAGGUACCAGAAAGGAGAGUUUAUGCAGCAGCAUAUAGAGGGUUCUCUUAUUUUGUAUUUCUUUAUCUUUUCUUCCCAUACAGAUAUCCCCUGGAUGCAAACACGUUAGUGUGUCUUGCUGUAGGUUUGUGGGGUCUCUCUGUUUUUUAUUUACAUUGAUUUACUUGAAAGAUUUGAUUUAAAUCUCAUUCUAAUUCUUUUCUGCAACACUGUUUUUAAGACUUACUUUCUUUUCAGUAUCAGUGUAAUCUAUAGCUUGUAAAUGCUGCACAAUAUUCUUUAUUAUUAAUCUACUGCAUUUCAUUUAGCUUUUCGCUAGAUAGGACACAGAAGUUGCCUCCCUCCAACUCUGAAAUAAAGAUGACGCUCAAGUAAACA
rnacentral:lncRNA from 1 species